GAUGAACGCUGGCGGCGUGCCUAAUACAUGCGAGUCGAGCGAACGGACGAGAAGCUUGCUUCUCUGACGUUAGCGGCGGACGGGUGAGUAACACGUGGAUAACCUACCUAUAAGACUGGGAUAACUUCGGGACACCGGAGCUAAUACCGGAUGAUAUUUUGAACCGCAUGGUUCAAUAGUGAAAGACGGUCUUGCUGUCACUUAUAGAUGGAUCCGCGCUGCAUUAGCUAGUUGGUAAGGUAACGGCUUACCAAGGCAACGAUGCGUAGCCGACCUGAGAGGGGGAUCGGCCACACUGGAACUGAGACACGGUCCAGACUCCUACGGGAGGCAGCAGUAGGGAAUCUUCCGCAAUGGGCGAAAGCCUGACGGAGCAACGCCGAGUGAGUGAUGAAGGUCUUCGGAUCGUAAAACUCUGUUAUUAGGGAAGAACAUAUGUGUAAGUAACUGUGCACAGCUUGACGGUACCUAAUCAGAAAGCAACGGCUAACUACGUG
rnacentral:rRNA from 1 species